AUUGAACGCUGGCGGCAGGCCUAACACAUGCAAGUCGAACGGUAACAGGAAGAAGCUUGCUUCUUUGCUGACGAGUGGCGGACGGGUGAGUAAUGUCUGGGAAACUGCCUGAUGGAGGGGGAUAACUACUGGAAACGGUAGCUAAUACCGCAUAACGUCGCAAGACCAAAGAGGGGGACCUUCGGGCCUCUUGCCAUCGGAUGUGCCCAGAUGGGAUUAGCUAGUAGGUGGGGUAACGGCUCACCUAGGCGACGAUCCCUAGCUGGUCUGAGAGGAUGACCAGCCACACUGGAACUGGGACACGGUCCAGACUCCUACGGGAGGCAGCAGUGGGGAAUAUUGCACCAUGGGCGCAAGCCUGAUGCAGCCAUGCCGCGUGUAUGAAGAAGGCCUUCGGGUUGUAAAGUACUUUCAGCGGGGAGGAAGGGAGUAAAGUUAAUACCUUUGCUCAUUGACGUUACCCGCAGAAGAAGCACCGGCUAACUCCGUG
rnacentral:rRNA from 1 species